UCCCUGCCCCAGCCCUGAAAAGCUCCGGGUUCCCCCAGUCGUCAGAGCCCCAGGCCCUUUAAUUUGACCCUGAGGGCUCCCAGCCACCUCUUUGGCUGGGAGUCCCUGGUUGAUUUAACAUCAAGUAACACCUCCCCACCACCAACCUUCCUUUUUGACCCACAGCUGUUUUGGUGGGGCGGCGCUGGGGAAGGAGGGUUUGUUUCUGCAGGGCUGGGCGGGGUGUUUCCGCCAGGCUGGGAGGUCCUGAGUGGGGGGUGUUUCCGCAGGGCCGGGGGGUUUCGGUCCUCAGCUGUUUUCUUUGGAGUAUUGUGGCCCUCGCUGUUUUACUCAAAGUACUGUACAGGAACUUUUCAGGGGGAUUAAGGCAAAAUGCCACAUUUAUUAGUAAUACAGGUAUCAAUUAAUACUCUAUGAUAUGCACAUGAGAUAUAUAUCACAGUCAUGCAUUCACGCACACACACAGACAUAAACACACUCCGUCUUGCUGUUGUUACCAACUAGUUGCUCCCCUUAACUGCACUGGCCAGGUGAGUUAGAUGGGGGAGGGGUGGAGCCGGGCUUCUACCGAUCCAAAUCGAUGGUCCGAUGGUGACAAGACGAGAUCCGGGGUCCUUCUGCAAGACACCUCGCAUUUAUAGCAGCUUCCCUCUUAUGCAAAUCUAGACCAGAUUCAAAAUCUGGGUCUGCGUCCGUUGGUCUUUGUGCUGCUUUUCUCUGGGUGUUGUCCCAAUGCUGCUCAAAGAGGGUGUUUUCUAAAGAAGGUGCUUGCUUCUAAUCCCUGAGGCCAUCAAUAUGUCUGCUCUUCUUUAUUGGGCCCACUUGACAAGUUGUAUUGUCCUUUGCUCUGGCUCCCAUUCCCUCUUCAACUGUUGUAGCUGUCUGGAGGUGGGUGUCUUCCAAGCCUCACUCAUUCACACCUCAUUCAGUCAAUAGAGCAAUUGAUUACAGAGUGCGGGGGAAGAUCUUAUUCUACUUCUAGCAAAAAGGCACAUGUUUUCUUUUACUUUAACUAUACUAUCCUUAGGGGCUAUAACAUUUGAUACAAAGUUUUCUACCAAUUCUCUAUAUAGGGAUCUAAUACAAAGUUGUAUGAAAAUAGAGAGGCACAAUGCCAAGUCAUAUGAAUUACAAAAUAACAUCAUGCCGGAUGCAAUGUCAUAAAGAUAAAGAUACUUAAUACAAAAUAACACAAUGCAACGUUAUAAAGAUUUAUAGAGAUAGUUAAUACAGAGAUUUCUCUACAUCACCACUUUACGAGUUGUGCAGGCCUGCUGACAGCAUUCGUGGGGCUUCUUGCUCGUGUGGAUUCUCUGAUGCUGAAUAAGGUGCGAGCUGCGACUGAAAGUUUUCCCGCACUCACUGCAUUCACAGGGCCUCUCCCCUGUGUGGAUUCUCUGAUGUUGAGAAAGGCCUGAUCUGUAAGUGAAGUUUUUCCCACACUCAGCACAUGUAUUUUUUUUGCUUUUCCCUGCAGAUUUCCUGCUGUAUUCUGGUUUCCUUAAGGCCCUUCUGAGUUCCCUGACAGGAAAUAAAUUUAUCCAUUUUCUCCCCUG